rnacentral:rRNA from 1 species
UACGGAGGGGACUAGCGUUGUUCGGAAUUACUGGGCGUAAAGGGCGCGUAGGCGGGAUGGCAAGUCGGUCGUGAAAUCCUUCGGCUCAACCGAAGAACGUCGAUCGAUACUGCUGUUCUUGAGGGUUGCAGAGGAGACUGGAAUUCCCGGUGUAGCGGUGAAAUGUGUAGAGAUCGGGAGGAACACCGGUGGCGAAGGCGGGUCUCUGGGCAAUUCCUGACGCUGAGGCGCGAAAGCGUGGGGAGCAAACGGG